AAAUGUUAGGCACAAAACCCUAGAAAACAUUUAUUAGAAAAAAAUUAAAAACAAACAUAAAAUCAAGUCAAAUUUAGUCAAUCCACACUACUUGAAAAAGUAAACCUCGAGUCCCCGGCAACGGCGCCAAAAACUUGUUGACUCACUGGCAAGUGUACCAGAUCGUGCAAGUAAUAUAAUCGGUAAUACCCGAUAUUGUUCUUCCCAAGAGACUCGAAAGGCAUUUAUUGUUCGUGUGAAUCAAAAUCGUAAGACUUGUAAGGAAAUAAUUAAUUGUUGUGAAUGCAAAGAGAAUAUAAACAUGCAAUGUGGUUGAUUCAAUUGACGAAAAAAGACUAUGGAUGAAUGGAGUUGUUGGGGGUUGACAAUUUCAUCUUAUUCGCUCCCUCUUAUCUACUCUUCUUGUUUAAUGUGCUUAAUUAUCUAAUAGUUAUGCAAACUUUCUUGGCCUACCCUUAACCCGAUCCCUCGGCAAAAAGAGCCUAUUACUAAUUAUCGGCUUGCUAUCCCUAGCCUCCCCUAGUAAUUAAAAAUGCAUUAAGAACAGAAGCAAAAACAAUUGAUCGUCCUACCCCCUAUCCCUAGGUUGAUAUUGCUUAAUCAAGGAAUUUCUCACCAGUUCAUGACAGUACUGUACGUUUCCGUAUCAAUAGAGACAAAUACCAAUUAUCGAAUGAGUUAAACGACAAAAGCAUUAAGCGCAGAUGAGAACCCAACAAUUGAUAAUCAAAGCAUAUGAAGAAUCAUAUAAAUAAACAAGAGUUUCAAUAAAAGAGAGUUUCAAAAGAUUACAUUGUUUCCCCCAACAACAAAAGGGUUUAGUUCACCAUUGUCAUCACUUUCAUCAAAAUCACUACAAAACAAUGCAAAACAAGCAUAAUAUCGCUAAAAACAGCUUUUGACUCUCGACUGACUCAUUUAUUGAGUUUUACUUGAUUCUAAG
rnacentral:lncRNA from 1 species